ensembl:rRNA 5S_rRNA 5S ribosomal RNA
GUCUAUGCCUAUACCACCCUGGACCUUCCUGAUCUUGGAAGCUAAACAGGGCUGGGCCUGGUUAGUACUUGGAUGGAAGACUUUCUGUACCUAUGAACU